GCGCCCGGCCUAGCAUAUAUAUUAAAAUUGGAUGUUACAAAGAAGAUUAGCAUGCCUCCUGUGAAAGGAUGACAUGCUGACAUGGAAAUUCGUGCUCCAUAUUUUU
rfam:Pan troglodytes isolate Yerkes chimp pedigree #C0471 (Clint) chromosome 12, whole genome shotgun sequence.